UACGUAGGCAGCAAGCGUUGUUCGGAGUUACUGGGCGUAAAGGGUGCGUAGGCGGCCCUGUAAGUAUGGUGUGAAAUCUCCCGGCUUAACUGGGAGGGUGCGCUAUAGACUGCGGGGCUCGAGUGUGGGAGAGGAAAGUGGAAUUCCUGGUGUAGCGGUGAAAUGCGUAGACAUCAGGAGGAACACCGGUGGUGUAAACGGCUUUCUGGACCAUAACUGACGCUGAGGCACGAAAGCGUGGGUAGCAAACAGG
rnacentral:rRNA from 1 species